CCUACGGGAGGCAGCAGUGGGGAAUAUUGCACAAUGGGGGAAACCCUGAUGCAGCGACGCCGCGUGAGUGAAGAAGUAUUUCGGUAUGUAAAGCUCUAUCAGCAGGGAAGAAAAAAGACGGUACCUGACUAAGAAGCCCCGGCUAACUACGUGCCAGCAGCCGCGGUAAUACGUAGGGGGCAAGCGUUAUCCGGAUUUACUGGGUGUAAAGGGAGCGUAGACGGAGAAGCAAGUCUGAAGUGAAAGCCCGUGGCUUAACCACGGGACUGCUUUGGAAACUGUUUGACUAGAGUGCUGGAGAGGUAAGUGGAAUUCCUAGUGUAGCGGUGAAAUGCGUAGAUAUUAGGAGGAACACCAGUGGCGAAGGCAGCUUACUAAACUGUGACUGACAUUGAUGCUCGAAAGUGUGGGUAUCAAACAGGAUUAGAUACCCGAGUAGUC
rnacentral:rRNA from 1 species